rnacentral:lncRNA from 1 species
UGCAGUUCUCUGCCUCAGCCUCCCGAGUAGCUGGGAUUACAGGCGCCCGCCACUACACCCAGCAAAAUGUUGUGAGCACCUACCAUAUGCCAGGCACUGUUCAGUGAACUGGUUGUACAGGAGUGAAUGAGAUCAUCUUGAUUUUGAGAAGUUUAUAAUCUACUCAAGGGAAACACGUGUAAUCAACUAUGUUUCAGACAUAACCCCUCAAAACCAAAGCAGAACCUCUUCAAGGAGCUGAGAGAUGCAAGCCUGGAGGAGAAAAGCGGGGCAGCAUCAAACCCCUCCCACUGGGGCAACCUGCUGAGCAUCUCCCUGGCCUUGGCCCCUGGCCAUACCACACAAGUGUCCAAUGAGUCACUGAUCCUGAAGAACAAGAGAAGACUGACCACAGACCCCAAAAGGAAGCAGGAGUACAACCUUCGAAGUUGGUGGGCAACAAGAGGUCAGAGGUUGACAAGCAUCCACACAGCUCUAAGACUAGCAUCAUGUGGCUACCCAGGACCUGGGAGAGUGCUGCAGAGCAGGAGCAGGAAAGGGACCGGCUGUUCCCAUAGAACUUCAUGUCACAGGUCUGGGAGCCAGGGGGCCUUGGUUCUAGUCCCAACUCUCCCUCUAAGUUGUCUUAUGGCCACAGGUGAGUGAAAUAGCUUCUCUGGCCUCAGCUUCCUCACGAUUAAAAUGACACAGUUGUGCAAAAUUGCCUCCAAGAGCAUUCUCAAAAGCCAGAGGGUACAGUCAUGACUCUCAUAGCCUAAGAUAGUGGGCCCUUAAACAUGGCUUCCUGGUUUCUUUGCCACUGGUGGAAUCUUUUAAGGGAGGAGCAGAAAGCCUCAGCUCCAGGGCUGUGUCUACACUGCCUGGGGCCUCUUGGAUUCUGAUGAGUCUGUGGUUAGCUGACCUCUAGCUCUGGUCUAAGAGAGUUUUGCAAAUGGCAGACAAGUUGUUGCUGGCUUAUCACAUACCAUGGCAGACAUCACUGAUGGAUCAUGAUAUUAUUUUCCUCAAAACCCUUCUCCACUCACAGCCCCAAGCAAAUGCUAUUAAUUAAUUACAGUAAGCUUACUAGAUGAAACCUGUCUUCCCUGCUCUUGUCUCUUUCUUUCCAGUUUAACAGGCUUCAUUGUACAGCAUCCAAAUUAAUUGGAUUUUUUGGGAAAUUCAGUUAUUCUAUGAGAUGACACAUUUUUUAAAAAAAGUAGGGCUUUAAGUGAUUGAACUCUUUAGGCA